rnacentral:piRNA from 3 species
CGUUGGUGGUAUAGUGGUGAGCA